UUACGGCCACAUCACGUUGAAACACAGGUUCCCGUACGAUCACCAAAGUUAAGCAACGUCGAGCCUGAUCAGUACUUAGAUGGGUAACCGCUUAGUCAUAAAAGGUGAU